CUCUGCUCUCCCUUGCUUGCUGUAAGCCACUGUGCCAUCUCAAACUGAGCCUACACCACAAGACCAAGCUCUCAUCAUCUUUACAUUGUGGAUGGCAAAAGAUUAAACAAUGAAAAAGAGUUCUCUUUGUGCUUCCAUGGUCUGCUGAGACACAGUGCUGGGAAGAAAAAGCAAAACCAAGGCAGAAGCCUUCCUCAACCCGUUAUUCCUCUCUGUGACUGUUACUGUUGCAACAGUUUGCAGGGAAAAAGCAAGGAAUGUAUCAGAUGGAGGCCAAACAUCAAGGGUCCUUUCUCGAGGGAAGCAGACUUCCAGCCUUCAUGAGAGUUGUACCACAGAUCAACAAGCACAGAGAUACAAGAAGAUCUGAGGAAAGUGGAGAGCCAAGGUUCUCCUGCACAGUCCUGAUGCAAUGAACCCAGGUAUCAAGGCACAAGUCAAAUCAAGCACAACUCAUGGCAGCUGUUAGUCACGUCACUUAAUGCACUACUGCAUCAGGCUUCAGACACCAGUGAACAGCGCAGGACAGGAACCUCCAACAGGAACCUGUAUGGGAGACCAUAGGAAAUGAUGCUGGAGAACAUGUUACUACUGAAGAUGUGCAAAUAACAAUAGCAAUAUAUUGCACCGCAACAAAAAUGAAAUCACCGGCAAGGGACCAUCCCACAGACCACCUGCAGAUUAUAUAUCAUUUCUUUUCAGAAAAGUUGGAGCAGAGGGGAAAGGGGAUUAUUUUAUUCCACAGAAACUGAUGGCAGCAAGCUGAAAAUGAUACAGGAAAUAUUCAUUCCCCAUUCCCAAAGGGAGGAGCAAGGGCCAGUUCAGAAAAUUAAAAGGCUUUACUGAAGAUUUUCCUGGAAGAAUUCCUCCACAGGCUCCUUAGUGCUGAUUUUGAGGCAAAGAACAGUAGGAGCACUGAAAGAAAUGACUGAGACAGUAGCUGACCAAGUAGCCUCUGCCUCCCCUUACCCAGCACUGUGAAUUCCAUCCUGUGUGAAUCUGCACUCAUAGACUCCCACUCACGUGUACAUGGAUGGCUGAGCAUCACCAAAAUAUUCCUGAGGACUGACUGCCUGCCUCCAAGCUUGAGACUGACUCCAGACUUCCCAAAUUCUUCAAAGCAUCCCUCCAAUUCCCUCACCCUAUGCUUGCUGCUUGUCCACACUGUGCUCGAGUUUAUCAUCUCCAGCAGAAAACGUCACUGAGCUAGAAGAAAGCAGGUAAUUUUGUUAUCCCCACUCUACAGAUGGGAAAAUGCAGCUCAGAUACUGUGAAGUGGUCACGCACUGGACAGAUGGUCUGAUGACAAUGUGAAUGGAGUUGAGAUCCCUUAUAAAGUAAUUUCUGUAGUCCAUGCAUCCUAUGAAGUGGGAAGAAACAUCAACUCAGUAUAAGAUUCUUCAAGCAAGAAAAAUAGCACUGUAGUAAGAGCUGUAUAUAAUUCAAACAAAUUAAUUUUUUUCCUUUGUC